UUGAUCCUGCCGGAAGCCAUUGCUAUCAGGGUCCGAUUUAGCCAUGCUAGUCGCACGAGUUCACACUCGUGGCAUAUAGCUCCGUAACACGUGGCCAAACUACCCUUCGGAGACGCAUAACCUCGGGAAACUGAGGCUAAUACGUCACACGGCUUUCAGCCUGGAAUGGCGAAAGCCCGAAACGCUCCGGCGCCGAAGGAUGUGGCUGCGGCCGAUUAGGUAGACGGCGGGGUAACGGCCCACCGUGCCGAUAAUCGGUACGGGUUGUGAGAGCAAGAACCCGGAGACGGAAUCUGAGACAAGAUUCCGGGCCCUACGGGGCGCAGCAGGCGCGAAACCUUUACACUGCACGCCAGUGCGAUAAGGGGACCCUGAGUGCACAGGCAUAGUGCCUGUGCUUUUCUCGACCGUAGGGAGGUCGAGGAACAAGAGCUGGGCAAGACCGGUGCCAGCCGCCGCGGUAAUACCGGCAGCUCGAGUGAUGGCCGAUCUUAUUGGGCCUAAAGCGUCCGUAGCUAGCCAGGCAAGUCCGUCGGGAAAUCCACGUGCUCAACGCGUGGGCGCCCGGCGGA
rnacentral:rRNA from 1 species